GAUGAACGGGGGAGGAGGGAAGAAUACAGGCAAGUCGAGCGAACAGACGAGGAGCUUGCUCCUCUGACGUUAGCGGCGGACGGGUGAGUAACACGUGGAUAACCUACCUAUAAGACUGGGAUAACUUCGGGAAACCGGAGCUAAUACCGGAUAAUAUAUUGAACCGCAUGGUUCAAUAGUGAAAGACGGUUUUGCUGUCACUUAUAGAUGGAUCCGCGCCGCAUUAGCUAGUUGGUAAGGUAACGGCUUACCAAGGCAACGAUGCGUAGCCGACCUGAGAGGGUGAUCGGCCACACUGGAACUGAGACACGGUCCAGACUCCUACGGGAGGCAGCAGUAGGGAAUCUUCCGCAAUGGGCGAAAGCUUGACGGAGCAACGCCGCGUGAGUGAUGAAGGUCUUCGGAUCGUAAAACUCUGUUAUUAGGGAAGAACAAAUGUGUAAGUAACUAUGCACGUCUUGACGGUACCUAAUCAGAAAGCCACGGCUAACUACGUG
rnacentral:rRNA from 1 species